CCUGAGAAACCCAAAAGAUCGAAUGGGGAGAUUCAUCGUCAGCUCAUUUUGUAUAUGUAUAAGUUACGAUGCGGGUUACUACUUUGUAGUAUUGCCUGCACGUUCUUGUAUAUUUAGUUGCAAGAUGUUGUCGGCGUGCACUUCUUCCUUAGUAGGACGUCGCGACCCGUUGGAUGUCGGUCUACGGCCCAAGUGAUAGCCUUUAAUGUAAUUUAAAAAUCAUUGAAGAUCCUUGGUGUUUUCUGACCGGCUAUUCGGCGGUACUCGUACGGUAUUUAGCCGCUAAUUUAUUAGCGUCCAUGUCCGUCACAAGCGAGGCCAAUUUACUUGAUAGUGCGGACCUAGUGCCGUCGUUGGUAUUUGCCAGCUGUUGGUUGUACGUGAUUCUGGGACUGGCUAAAAUUAAUUACCGGUCGGCGAUGCUACUGCUUUGGGUACUUUCAGGACCCGUCUUGAAACACGGACCAAGGAGUCUAACAUGUGCGCAAGUCAUUGGGAUGUUUUUAAAAUUAAACCUAAAGGCGUAAUGAAAGUAAAGGUUGUCCUUGCGUCAACCGAGGGAGGAUGAGUUGUGUUAUGAUACAGCUCCGCACUCCC
rnacentral:rRNA from 1 species